CUGCAAAAAGAUGUGUUCUUUCUAUGUGACGUCAUUAGGCAUGGUCGCCUUUUUUCAUGCCGUCACAAUAGGAAUUUCAGAGGAAAGCAAGAAAAUUUGACGUCAUAAUCGGAUUUUAACCAAUGAACAACUGAGAUCAAACGAACCACACAUUGAUUAAAUUUUUUUUAUACAAUGGGUGCAGAAAGGGAUAAAUUGACGAAGAAUUAGAGAAACUAAAUUAUGUG
rnacentral:lncRNA from 1 species